GAAAGAAAGGAAAACAUAAGAUGAGAUCUCUCUAUGAACAAGUGACAGUUUGAAGUGGGUCACCUCAUUGCCAUCUCAUAAGCACCUUAUUGCACCCACCCAAGGAAUCACCUGCAAGUGAACAGUGAAGGUUCAAUAAGGAUGGAAAAGAGUACUGAUAGCAAUUUGGAAGCAAAUCUAAGGAGUGCAUACUUUUCAUUAAAAGGUUAUUUCGUGCUUCCUCUCUUCCACACGAUCAAGAUCUUCAAAGUAAGCAUCUUUCAAAGGAGCGACAAGCAAAAUACAGCUGCAGGAUCAGUAACUCCCUGUUAAGCAGCUUUGCCUGCUGUCACUAUUGACUGCUGGAGGUGGUGAUCCAUGUCAGUCACUAAAACGACACCUUGGCAAGACUGCAAUCUGCUCCCAGGGUUUUUGUGUAUGAGAACACUUAGAUAAUGAGAUUUUCAUAUAUUCCCAGCAGCUCACACAGUGCCUGGAA